rnacentral:rRNA from 1 species
CUACGGGUCGCUCCAGUGGGGAAUAUUGGACAAUGGGCGGAAGCCUGAUCCAGCAAUACCGCGUGUGUGAAGAAGGCCCGAGGGUUGUAAAGCACUUUCAAUGGGGAGGAAAAAGCGAAGGUUAAUACCCUUUGAAUUGACAUUACCCAUACAAGAAGCACCGGCUAACUCCGUGCCAGCAGCCGCGGUAAUACGGAGGGUGCGAGCGUUAAUCGGAAUUACUGGGCGUAAAGCGUGCGUAGGCGGCCUGCCAAGCCAGAUGUGAAAGCCCCGGGCUCAACCUGGGAACGGCAUUUGGAACUGGUGAGCUAGAGUUAGGUAGAGGGGAGUGGAAUUUCAGGUGUAGCGGUGAAAUGCGUAGAUAUCUGAAGGAACACCAGUGGCGAAGGCGGCUCCCUGGACCCAAACUGACGCUGAGGUACGAAAGCGUGGGUAGCAAACAGGAUUAGAUACCCUUGUAGUC